rnacentral:rRNA from 1 species
GACCCGAAAGAUAGUGAACUAUGCCUGAUCAGGCCAACGUCAGGAGAAACCCUGAUGGAGGGCCGAAGCUAUUCUGACGUGCAAAUCGAUUGUCAGAGUUAGGAAUAGGGGCGAAAGACCAAUCGAACCAUCUAGUCGCUGG